CUUCACUUUACCUUUGUGGGAGGGGGGGAGGUGGCUUUCUCCUUCUCCCACUGUGCUGGCUCCCUGCACUCCUGGGCACGUUCUGCCACUCUACCUGGCAGCCGCUCCGGGCAGAGAGCGGGACGGAGCCGACUUCUGGGGACAGGAGCCAAGCAUGCUGGGGGGAGGGAAAGGAAAGGCUUGGGCUCAACUUAAAAAAAUACUCCUUUUGGUAGAAAGGAAACUUUUGCCUUCCCUAAAUAGGGCCCAUUUUAUUUGCACUGCUUUGUGUGCAACAGGCUCUGUUUUAACUAUCCUAUCUAAGAGUUUCACACUACACUAUUGUAAACCAAAUUGCUGGUAACAGCUCAACAACACUGAUAUCUUUCUGAACUAGAGGCAAUGUUGCACAUCUCAUCACUGUACAUGCACAAAUUCUACCCUCUUAUUUACUUUCAAAUUAGGCUAGACUAUGAGCUCCGGGAGUGGCCUAGUUGAGGUUUGUUGCCAGAGGCAUAGGUAAGCCAAAAACUCGGAUAAUCAAAACAGCUGCUACCAAGCAGUACAUCUAAAAGUAACAGCCUGUUUACAGGACUCUAGUUAGAGUCAAGCUGAACCUCCUUGUAGGAGAGGAGGGAGAGAGAGAAUUCCCACAAACUGCCUGGCCUAUUCCCACAUGGUCUGUGAUUGACAUAUCUCAACCCAUCCCUUGUGCACUGUAGAAAGAAAGCACUCCGUACUUGUAACUUGCGUGGUCCAGUAACUGCUAAUCUACUAAAAAUCACAAGGAGGAUCUGGAUAACACAUCAGUCCUUAGCAUAUACACUAGGAACACUAUUAGACACCAGCAUUGACACCCUUUCUGACAGCCUUGUGGGAAACAGUCAACACCCAGCCUUAGAGAGGCAAAUAUUGAAGGCUCUCCAGUUGCUAUAACACAAAGUGUUCAACUCCCAAAUGUUGAUAAGUACAACAUAUAGCUGCUGAAGAAGGGAAUGGUCCCAAAGGAAAUGCAGACUCUGUCUAUCAUAAACCUCUAUGUGUAUGUGAUUUGAAGUGAGGAGUUGAUGAUCUUACUAAAACCACUCCUUCACUCAGGUGUUAUGUAAUACUUCUGUUUAAAACAAGUACUUUUAAAAUGUAAUGAAUUAGAUCAAAGAGGAAUGAUAGGUGAAGUGUAGAAAGCAACUCUUUAGAUUAAUAAGAUUGCAUGCUUUCUUGAAGGGAUGAAAAUAUUCUAAUACUAAUACCUUACACAUCAAUAUAUGUGUAAUAUUUUCAUAGUGGGCUGUGUCUGAUUUAAAAUGCCAGCUGUUACAGAAGAGCCGUUGGCUUAGUGGUUGCAUGCCCCCGUCCUGUAUCAAAGAAGCACCUUCACAUAAGACCUCUUUGCAGUAGCUUGCCCUAAACCUUCAGUAUCCACCGUCAGUACAGGAGCCCUCACGGCUUGAAAACAAGUCCCAAAACAUUGACUAAUUCCAUGUUUAAACAAUCUCAGUCUCUUUACUCUUUAGCAUGUAAAUUGUUCUGUUGGAAGACAGGGUGCCUCUAAGAUUCUCCAAGAAGAGGAGAUGGGAAAUGGAGAAUGAGCAAGAAAUAUAUAGAACCUUGCACCUGUAGGUCAUUGGUCCAAAUCUGCAUGAAGGCAAUAGUGAUGAAAAGUUACCCUCUGAUGCCUUUGUGAAGUGAAUUUGGUGAGUCUCAGCCUAGUUUCUCAUCACAAUGAAUUUUCUUUUGAGUCUUAGCAAAGAUGCAAAAAGUGAGCGGGCAUGGAUACUAAAUAACCCUGUGACUCUGAUUAGACUACCAGUGCAUAUUCCAGUAGAACUUCUCAGUGGCAGUCUGUGAUUGAGAGGAGAGAAAGACAUCUCCGCCCCCCAGUAAACAUUGCUUGCCCACACCAGGUGUGUCUGUGUCCCCUGAGGGUCUGGGCAGUGAAUUUUUUAAAGAUAUUGAUUUAUUAUCAGGUAGAGCCAGGCACAUAGUGUAGUGUUACAGUUUAUGGCCUAAAUGCUUAGGGCUAUAGAAAGCCUGGAGUAGAAGAGAAAUAGUGGAUUUUUUGUGGUGGUGGCAGAGGUGGGGUGUCAGCCCCAAAGAGACUGUGCUAGGGGUAUGUAGAGCUUGAUGCUUCUGUUCAUGGCAGCCUGGGGGAAGGGCAUGACCGGUAGAUCUGUGGCUGUGUGGAUUCACUGGCCACAGCUAAUGUUAUUUUACUCUGUGACAGAAUCAUUGUCCCUCUCAGCUCCUAUCUACCCUAUAGGUCCUGUCCAAAGCCUGUUUAGUCAGGCUGUAUUCAUGAGAGCAGGAUUAGCCCUUUAUGGUCCUAACAGAUCUGCUUAACACUGUGUAAACACAGUAAAAUUUCACCAAAUACUCAGUUCCACCACCUCCCCUUGGAAAACUGUCAUGUUAGCAGCCAGGGCAUGUGCCCAUGGUGUGUGUGUGUGAGGCUCAAUUACCUUCUCUGCAUUGAGAUUUUAUGUGAAACAGAGACUGCCACUUCCAUUUCUCCUUAUGCUGUGGGCACCUGUGUUUGAUUCUAGCAUGUAAAAUGAAGGACACUGUGGGGGCAUCUUUUUCAUGUCCUCUUCCAGGACAAGAUGGAAUCCUCUGGCCUUAAUGGGCAUCUGUAAUCAGCUAGCUUUUGAGAUGUCUUUGCAGAAAAGCCAGGGACUGAAUGAGCCAUGGAGACUGACCUACCCUCUCCCUUCUAGAGAUGGCAGCAUCAGAUCAGGGUUGGGGCAGCUUUGCUGUGCAUCUACACUGUGCUCAACUGAGAACCCUUUCCCAGGGGUGCCAGUGUGGCACCGGUCACCAGUACUAAAUUCUCCUAUUUUUUUUAAUCAAACCCCAUGGAGGCAACUCGAGUAUGCAUGUCCUUUGCUUUGCUGUAAUGUAGCUAUAGAUGGCACUCCAGUAUCAGUUACUAGUUGCGCACAGCAGUUUCCAUGUUGAAGGCAUACAGCACUGUGACACUCUGAUUUGGGGGAGUAAUAUCAGUUCUGGCCAGUUUCUAAAAGGUACAUUUAUUUGGUUUCUGCAGUGAAUUAGUUGCACUGUGUGGACAAUAAUUAAUGGUGGGAAGGAGAGAAAUUUAAGGAAUGAGAGCAGGAUAACAGUUAAAGACAAUACAGUGGAAGCUUUACAAUGUAGGAAAUUCUGUUUCCAGUGUGAAAAAUAUUGACUUUAGGGGGAAAGCUAUUGGAAAAAUACUUUGAAAUCAAAGAGAUCUGAUUUUCCAGAAAGCUCUCUCUGCUCAUAUUAGGUACUUGUGUAUGUUAUUAGCAGGUGCUAACUCUCCAGGCUCUCUUCUCUGGUGCCUGAGACACCUGCAUUAAUGAUUUAGGGCCACAAGAUGUUGCCACAAGUCCUCUCUUGCUGUAGCCCAAAGAGUACAGAGCAGGAAUUUGUAUGAAGCUCCUGAGCAAGGUUGGUGUAUGGUAUUGACCAACUACGGGUACCAGGCAGGGGCUGUCACUGUCUCUGUUCCCUUCCUCCACUGAGGAUUUUGAGCUUGUGUGUGCAGAAUAGAGUAGUGUAUUUCAGAUACUAAGCAGAAGAAACAUUAGAAUUAGUGAGAAGUUAACACACAAGCGGGUGCAGCUAUUCUGCCCAUAUCUCUUCUCACAAAGAGUAGAGGGUCUUAAGUAGUGUAGACGACCUUGUGCAGACUUGGAUAAAUGUCACCCUGAUCUCUGUUUUGCCUCUGUGCACAGAUAGAUAGUCUCCAGGAUCCCUAUCAUCUUUCUUCUUCCUUAGCUCUGGUAGUUUAAACUCCACAGUUCUCAGCAUCAAGACUUUGUUGAAAUCCAUCUCUGUCUCCUUCCACAAGGUUAGCAGAGAUCAUUGCCACGCAAUGCAAAAAUGUAGACACUUUUCAGGUUUUAAAAUGUUCCCCAUUCACUCUUCUUCCUCUGUUUGACCCCCAAUAUCUGAAAUACACUGAAAUCUCUGACCUUACUCUCUUUUGCUUGACAUACAAAUCAUGGGCAUGCUUUAGAGAUGUGCAUACACACACACAAAUCAUCUGCAGCCCGCAAGCCUGUAGUGUUUUAGUCUUUGUUUGAUGUGAAGAUUUAACCAGUUUGGAGCCUGGUUAAUUUUAAUGGUGCAAAAUAGAGCAUGACAAAUGCAUUGCUGUAUGUACUACAGUGAGUACUGAGAGUUGCUAAUAAAUGCGGUGGUGUCCUAUUUUUAAAAAACAAACCCUGCUUCAUAAGGGGAGGGAGGAUGUAGGUACCCAGAUCCUGGUAGUUGAGCCCAAAAGCUUUUGGACCAAAUGCAGCCCUGGUAAAACUCCACUAGUUGCAAUCAGGAAUUAAAUUUUCCCUUCUUGUUCAAUGCCUGCUGUAAAGUAUAACUAUGUUAAGUGUCACAGUAUCCUACCUACUCUUACAGACUAAGGUCUGACCAUUACUAUCCCCUUGUGCUGAAUCCACCAAGUGAAAGUCUGAGCAGGACGUGGUGAUGGACACAUUCAGCACCUUUGUUUCAUUCAGAGAUAGUCGCACCAUGUUCUGUGCAGGGGAUAGAAAACAAUAUCCAUAUCCAUAAACUCCCUAUGAUGAAGUGGGAAUUUUCAGUAAUUUUAUGAAUCCUAGGCAUGCCUCAGUUUCCCUCUGCAUGUGGCAUUGCUAACCAGUGGGUGCAAAAGCAUGAACAUUGCUCCUGGAGUGGCACAGCAGACAGGAGGUGUGUGUAUCACCUUGCUGUUGGGGGGGGGGGGGGGGCAAGGGGGGAAUGAAUAGGAUCAUUAACGAGCUGGCUGAAACCAGCCCAAAUCUACAUAGGGUCCAGCAAGAGAAAGAGAUGCCCCAACAACUCCACAUUCAAUACCUAACAGCAGGAAACCCCAGCAAGUGGGACUUGUGAAUGAAGCUGAAAAACAAGGUGGACAGGUAAGUGGAAGAAGGGUGUGUGUGUUUGGUUUGGUUUUGGUUUUUUUAGGAUCUCAGGUGCCUGGACAGGGCAGACAAAGGGUGGAACAGAGAGAAAUGGAGGUGGAGCCCAUCACAGCUUGGCUGGCCCAUCAGGGCACUGGAUUGACCAGGGUGGACAAUAGCUUAACUUCUGCCUCUCUGUGUUAACCUCUGGACUUUAAGUUUCUGAAUGCCAGAUGGGGAAACGGAGGCAUGGAGAGCUUAUGCAACUUGCCCAAGGCAACACAACAGUGCUAUAAAUAAAGCUGCCUAGAUCCUUCCAUCCAAAGAUCUCACAACACAUAGUAAAAAUUAUCUAGUUUGUUAUGCUUGGACAAUGAAAAGCAAAAAAGUCACUUUCACUUUUUUUGUAAUCAAUUUAACCUUCAGGUCUCAGUGCUGCAGUGUUUGGGUCUCAAUUCUCUAUGGGCAAGCUUAUUCUUAAAAACCCCUGAUUUCACUGGAAAUUUUUAAAAAUGUGAAAAUGUUCCA